rnacentral:rRNA from 1 species
GGGGAAUUUUGCGCAAUGGGGGCAACCCUGACGCAGCGACGCCGCGUGGGUGAUGAAGGCCUUCGGGUUGUAAAGCCCUGUCUGGGGGGAAGAUAGUGACGGUACCCCCGGAGGAAGCCCCGGCUAACUACGUGCCAGCAGCCGCGGUAAUACGUAGGGGGCGAGCGUUGUCCGGAAUUACUGGGCGUAAAGGGCGUGUAGGCGGCCUGGCAAGUCGGCUGUGAAAUCCCCCGGCUCAACCGGGGAGUGGCAGUCGAAACUGUUGGGCUUGAGUGCAGGAGAGGAGGGUGGAAUUCCUGGUGUAGCGGUGAAAUGCGUAGAUAUCAGGAGGAACACCGGUGGCGAAGGCGACCUUCUGGCCUGUUACUGACGCUGAGGCGCGAAAGCCAGGGGAGCGAAC